rnacentral:rRNA from 1 species
AUGGAGGUUGCUCUCGUGGGCGUGGGCACGGGGGUGAUGAAGCCCCUCCUGUCCAAGCUCUUCAAGGCGCUCAACGAAGAGCGCAGCAAGCUCAAGGGCGUGCGCCGUGAGGUCGAAGGCACAAGAGAAGAGAUGAGCAAUAUGCAGGCUGCGCUGGAGGCGCUAGCAGACGCCGAGCAGCUCGACCAUGAGACUAGAGCUUGGAGGGACGAUGUCCGCGAGCUGUCCUUCGACAUGGAGGAUUGUGUUGAUGACUUCAUGGCUCGUGCUGACACCAAGGAAGAUGGGCCAAAGGGCUUCAAGGGGUUCUUUGACAAGCUGACCAAGCUCAAACCUCGCCAUGAGAUCGCCGGCGAGAUCAAAAAGCUCAAGGCCCGUGCAAUCGAGACAAGCAAGAGGCAUCAGAGGUAUAAAACUGUCCGCCUCUCAUCUGACUCCACCGCCUGUGAUAUUGAUCCCAGGUUGCACGCGCUCUAUCUGGACGUCAGUAAGCUUGUGGGCAUUGACGGUCCUAUGAAGCAUAUCAUUGAGGGGCUCAAAAAUGAAGAUUCAUCUUCUAAGCAGCUUCACGUGCUGUCAAUUGUUGGUGCUUGUGGUCUUGGUAAGACUACUCUCUCUAAUGCAGUCUACCAAACCAUCAAAAAACAAUUCGAUUGUUCAGCUUUCGUGUCUGUUUCUCGGAAGCCUAACAUGCGAAAUGUUCUAAGAGAAAUCGCUAAAGGGUUGAAGAUUACUCACAUCACUUCUGAUGAUGGCGUGCAUCCACUUAUUGAUACACUUCGGGAGCACCUCCAGAACAAAAAGUACCUUGUUGUGGUUGAUGAUAUAUGGAGCACAGAAGCAUGGAAAACUAUAAGAGAUGCUUUACCAAAUAAUGACUGUGGGAGCAGAAUUUUCACUACAACACGCAAUAGUACGGUUGCAUCACUUUGUUCUCCUCAAGGCGAUUAUGUCUAUAGAAUGGAACCCCUUAGUUCCGCUGACUCCCGAAGACUAUUUCUUGAAAGAGCAUUCCGUUCUGAGGAUUUACUCCCUCCCACUCUAGAAGAAAUAUCUAUGAAGAUAUUGGAAAAGUGUGCAGGGCUUCCUUUGGCUAUUAUUACCUUGUCUAGUAUGCUGGCUGAUAAACCAGCAGAAGAAGAAUGGAAGAGGGUGCUUGAUGCUAUUGGUUCUUCACUUGCAAAAGAGGCUGUGGUCAUGACGAAGAUAUUAUCUCUCAGUUAUUUUGAUCUUCCUCACCCUCUGAGAAGUUGCUUGUUGUAUCUGAGUGAAUUCCCAGAAGAUCAUAUUAUCGACAAACGGAGUCUGAUACAUAAAUGGAUCGCCGAAGGAUUCAUCCAUGAAGCACAAGGGAGGAGUGCACAUGAAGUAGGCCGGGAUUAUUUGAAUGAAUUGAUCAACAAGAGCUUGAUCCAGCCAAUAGCAAAUCAUCAAUCUGACGAGUUGUAUGAUGAGGUCGCAGCAUGCCGGAUUCAUGACAUUGUUCUUGAUUUCAUAACUUGCAAGGCCGAAGAAGAAAACUUUAUGACAUCAUUGGAUGAUGGAAAGAAGGUGGGGAGACACAAGGUUCGCAGGCUCUCUGUGGCGAGCCGCACUAAUGAAAUGGAUUCUGUGUCAGGGGAUCUCUCCCAUGUUCGAUCACUUGCUAUGUUUGGGUAUUCUGUGUUGCAAUUUCCAGCUAUUGGUGUGUUGGAUUUCCCAGUUCUUCGUGUGUUGGACAUAGGGGAAUGUGAGAUUGUAAAAGGUGAGCAAAUGGCAAAUAUUGAAAAGUUACUUCUUCUCAAGUACUUGCGUGUCGGAGCAGGAUUGAUAAGUACUACCGAGCUUCUAGGAGGAAUUGGAAAACUGAAGUAUUUAGAAACACUGGACAUGCGUGGUGUCGAAAUUGGAAAACUGCCAUCAAGUAUGACACGGCUUCAAAGGUUGGCCCGUCUAUAUGCUCACUUCAAGACUAGCUGUUUAUCGGAUGGAAUUAUAGGACAGCUAAAGAGCUUAGAAGAGCUAGAGCACAUUAUGGUCCUUGACUCUGAACUUGACAAGUUUCUGCAGGAACUUUGUCAGCUAACCAAGCUAAGGAUGUUGAGUGUAACUGUGAUAGACCAAUCUGAUUCUGUGGAAAACAAAGCAGUUGUAAGGUUUAUUGGAACCUUAAUAUCUUCGUACAAUAUUCAUCAUCUCAGAAUCAGCCACGAGCCUUGUAGUAAAAAUCAGUCAGAAGGUUCUCUUAAAUAUAACCUCCUUCCGAUGGAAUCAUGGUGCCCUGCAAAUCCUUCAGUGGCUAGCCAGGAGUAUGGUCAGGACCAGCGCUGCUCUUUUGCUCACCUCGGCCCGGAAGGCCGUGGACGGGUCCAGCAGGCAUGA